rnacentral:rRNA from 1 species
GACGAACGCUGGCGGCGUGCUUAACACAUGCAAGUCGAGCGGUAAGGCCCUUUCGGGGGUACACGAGCGGCGAACGGGUGAGUAACACGUGGGUGACCUGCCCUCAGCUCUGGGGAUAAGCCUGGGAAACCGGGUCUAAUACCGGAUAUGACUCCAUGACGCAUGUUGUGGGGUGGAAAGCCUUGUGCGGCUGAGGAUGGGCCCGCGGCCUAUCAGCUUGUUGGUGGGGUGANGGCCUACCAAGGCGACGACGGGUAGCCGGCCUGAGAGGGCGACCGGCCACACUGGGACUGAGACACGGCCCAGACUCCUACGGGAGGCAGCAGUGGGGAAUCUUGCGCAAUGGGCGAAAGCCUGACGCAGCGACGCCGCGUGAGGGAUGACGGCCU